rnacentral:rRNA from 1 species
UACGAAGGGGGCUAGCGUUGCUCGGAAUCACUGGGCGUAAAGCGCACGUAGGCGGAUCUUUAAGUCAGGGGUGAAAUCCUGGAGCUCAACUCCAGAACUGCCUUUGAUACUGGGGAUCUCGAGUCCGGAGGAGGUGAGUGGAACUCCGAGUGUAGAGGUGAAAUUCGUAGAUAUUCGGAAGAACACCAGUGGCGAAGGCGGCUCACUGGUCCGGUACUGACGCUGAGGUGCGAAAGCGUGGGGAGCAAACAGG